CUGGUUCUGGUGAACUAUUUAAAGGGUUGGGUUUUGGUUCGGGUGGGUUAGCUAAUGGUUUCGGUGGUGGUUUGAGUGCGUUGAUAUAGUCAUUAUCAAUUGAGGGUAACCGCACUCGGUAUAUCAGAGGUGCUUGUCGAUCGAUGGGAGGUGUGUUGUGACGAUCGACGUCGGACUCACUCUGUCGAUCGAUGGUUGGCUCAGCCGAUCGAUCGAUUUUAUCAUAGAAAGGGGAGGGUGGGUGAGGAUGCU
rnacentral:lncRNA from 1 species